CUCAAUACAAGGAAGGUGGAGUAAAAAUCUUAAUUAUCCUCUUACAAACGAGAUCACUUUCUACAUUUAAAAGCUCAGUAAGUCCUGUGACUGUGGCAAAUAUUUUAAUUUUUUAGUAUCACAAAAGUGUUCAACACAAUUAAGUAUUUUACUGAGCCAUGACAUCACAAAAAACUUAAUCACUGCGAACACAAUAUUGUCUUACAAUUACUACAGACUAAAGAUUCAAAUCCAAAACUGCUAAAUUAUCACUGAUAAUUUAUGCUCUAUAAAAAUAUGGUACAUUUUGUGUAAAAGCUUUCUUCUUAAUAGUGAAAAUUAAGCAGAAAACUAAACUAAAGAAAAGGGGCAGAGUGAUUAUGGAUAAAAUACCCUCAACUGCGAGAGGUAAAUGAGGCAGAGGUUAGGUGGUGCCUCCUCGUACAUGGAUUUUCUACAGA